UACGUAGGGUCCAAGCGUUGUCCGGAUUUAUUGGGCGUAAAGAGCUCGUAGGCGGUUCGGUAAGUCGGAUGUGAAAACUCAGGGCUCAACCCGGAGACGCCAUCCGAUACUGCUGUGACUUGAGUCUGGUAGGGGAACACGGAAUACCUGGUGUAGCGGUGAAAUGCGCAGAUAUCAGGUGGAACACCGAUGGCGAAGGAAGUGUUCUGGGCCAGUACUGACGCUGAGGAGCGAAAGCGUGGGGAGCAAACAGG
rnacentral:rRNA from 1 species